GCCGAAGUAGCUCAGCGGUAGAGCAACUCUUUCGUAAAGAGUAGGUCGUGGGUUCAAAUCCCACCUUCGGCUCCA
rnacentral:tRNA from 3 species